GAACCGGAGGCUCGCACGCUAGACCGGUUGGGUCCAAAAAUACGCGCCCCAGGGCACAGGACAGAACCAUUCUCUUUUCCCAUCUGCGAGAAUCCGAGACGAAGGAAGAUGACGACGAUUCGCAGAUUCUGCUGCAACGACCUCCUCUCCUUCGCAUCUGUAAAUCUCGACCAUCUCACUGAAACUUUCAAUAUGUCUUUCUACAUGACCUACUUGGCUAGAUGGCCUGAUUAUUUUCACGUUGCCGAGGGUCCCGGAAAUCGAAUCAUGGGCUACAUUAUGGGGAAAGUUGAAGGGCAAGGUGAAUCUUGGCAUGGUCAUGUAACUGCAGUAACUGUCGCUCCAGAGUAUCGCAGGCAGCAAUUAGCCAAAAAACUGAUGAACCUGCUAGAAGAUAUCAGUGAUAAGAUAGAUAAGGCUUAUUUUGUGGACCUUUUUGUGAGAGCAUCAAAUACACCAGCAAUAAAGAUGUAUGAAAAGCUUGGGUAUGUAAUCUAUAGAAGGGUUCUGCGUUAUUACUCUGGGGAGGAAGAUGGAUUAGAUAUGAGGAAAGCACUAUCUCGGGACGUCCAAAAGAAGUCUAUCAUCCCCCUCAAGAGGCCAAUUACUCCAGAUGAAUUGGAGUACGACUAAACCUGCUUUCUUCAAAACUUCUGCCUAACUGAAUUUGAUGGAAAUGCAUCAUCAUGUUGUUGUCUUUUGAGAUGCUGAAGUUAGGCAUAGACUGGUUUUAGAAUUUCAGGCAUGUUGAAUAUGAGAGAUGAACAUCUAGGACUACUAAUGACAACUUAGUGGAAUACUUCUGCAUUACAACCGGAACAAUUUCCUAUUGAACAAGAUAAUUGAGUGCUGAUUCCUGCCCUACCUCCCAUCUUUAACAAUAAGUUCAUAGUUUUGCCUUGCCAUGUUUAGGAAAAUCUAAGUAACCCAACUUUAGAUUUUAAUCUCCUCUGAAAUUCCACAUUUGUUGCAUUUCUAAAGCAUCCAAAAGUUGGGUUUGGGUUACUAUUAUUAGGUAAAAUUCCUAAGUUGGAGGGGGCUCACAGACCAUGCAGUGGGCUGCAACCGGGGUUUAAUGUGGUCCACAGGCUAUAGGCUUGAAAGCACAAUAUUUAUUGGUGAAGUUUGAUAAAGAGAUUGUAGAACAUAGAUUUACUUUUGAAAAAUAUUCCCCAAAAGCUUGAAGACAGCUUCCAUCCUUUUCCUCCCAACAGGCUGAAAAUAGGCUAUGGUCCAAACAACAAGAAUGCAAAUAGAUUUCUGUUGCACUUUAUGCUGCAAUGGAUCCUAAAACCAUGAAAUCUUUGCAGAAUGGGCCUGAGGGAAAGGGCCUACCCACCCCAACCAAAAUGGUGGGCCCCAAUGUUAUCUGCGUGUCGGCUUCUGCAACAAAGGCGGAUGAAGGAUGAGGGGCAACACGUGAGCUCGGCCCAGUCGACGGUUUCGACCAAACAUCCAGACCUAAAAGGAGUGAUGGAGAUUGGGGCAGCAAGACCAGAAUCGGCUCGGGUCCAAACAGAGACACCCAUUUGCUUUUGUGCUCAUUCCUCAUUUCUAGGUUUUUUUUAUUCUUUUUCUUUUUCUUUUUUUCCCUUUUCUUUUCCAUUUGAGCUUGAAUCUCUUUCUACUUUCUGCUUUCUGCUUUCUCUUAUCUGUCAUUCCCAUCAAAACAAAUUCCACUCCAUUUGUACAUACUCCCUUUUCAUAAUUUCAAAUUUUCCCCUUAGCUAUU